rnacentral:lncRNA from 10 species
GCCCCACCCGGCACCUUCCCCUAUGGGUGCCUCCUCCCAGAAGCCUUCAGGGUUAUUCCAGGUCUUCCCAUUGCCUGUGCUGUUCCCAGAGCUGCUGGCCGUGGUCCCAGAACAGGCCCAGCCUGCUUGCCCAGCCUGUCACCAUGCCUGGCAGGGAUGGCAUCACCCAGCCGGCUGUGUGCAACUGCUGAAACCCCGUGGGCCCUGCUUCCAGUGCCGCACCCUCCUCGCCCAGGAUGGCUGCAGGAUUUACCAGGUCCUCCGCACAGUGAAAAUGUAUGCUUGUGAUGGCUGGAGCAUCAGCAGCUGUUUUGGGCCAUGAGGUGACACUGAGGCUGGAAGCCAGCACUAGGAGAGUGAUACAGUAAGCAGAGAAGCCAGGGCUGUCACGUCGCAGAGGAGACUGGAGAGCUGCGGCGGGGAGGGGUCAGCUGCGGCCACGUGAGGGCCAGGCCCCUCUCUGACUGCCCAGGCUGCAUCCACACAGAAGAUUCCAUGGCUUUCCAUAAAAGAGAGUGGGAGAAUGUCCUCUCUAAAGGCCUGGGGAGUGCCUGGGGAGAGGAGACAGCCUCAGCUGGGGCUCACCAGCCAGCAGCUGCCAGCCAGGCCAGCAAUGCCAAGGCACCCGGCGUUCCUGGAAGCCAAGCCCUGUUUGAUCUAAUGGGGCAGCUGUGGGUGCAGACCCAGAUAAAGAGAUAAACCCAGACCCAGAAACCUGGGGGAGGAGGUGGGAGCAACAACCUCUCUUCCGCCUCCUUCACCGUGAGAGGAAAGGAAGCGGGAUGACAUAGUUGUGGCUGGGACUGCUGGACCCCGCAUGCCAGCCCUGGGAGGUAUGUGGGUCAUGAAAUCCACCCACUGGUGACCUCCCCCAUGGUGAGGGAGGGAGAGAGCUUCUCCCCUCCUUGGCUAAGAGGACAGAGGGAGGAUCCUACAAAUUCUGUCAGGAAGCAGAAAUUUGGUCUGAGAGCAGUGAAGGUGGGAGCAGACACCCCCCAAAUCACCUGCAGGAUGAGCAUUUCUCAGGCUCUAGAGAGCAUGUGUGGGACACAGCCGCCAGCCCACCUGGUGCGGGGGUCCAGCAGCCACAGCCAUGGGAACUCCUGGGCCUGUUGUUCGUGUGCGGAUCCUGGUCCGGGAGCCUGGAUGCGGCUCUGCCUUGCCGACAAGCUCCUGGGCCAGGCCUGGUCCACCAGACCUCCCUAUGCUUGGAGUGCCUGCUUGUUGUGCCUGGAGCUGUGCUGGGCCCUUCCUCAUUGCAGGGCUGGGGGAGUCACUUAACCUGUCUGGGGCUCAGUCUUCUCAUCUGUAAAGUGGGAAUGAUGGCACCUGGUACCCACUUGAUUGGCUGUUGCAAACAUGAAACCAGAUGGGCCUGUAAAUCACAGGGCACUCGGCCGCCAUCACCAUCAUCAUCAUCAACAUCAUCAUCCUCAUCAUCAUGGCCCCAGCUCAUCCAUCUUUGUUGCCUUCUCCACCCCCAUCUUCCAUCCUUGGAGAACUGUGCCUCUUGAAUUGGCCUCGUGACCUAGUAAAGAUCAUAACAAAGACGCCUAAGUUGGUCUCAAGGCACCCUCCUUACUACCCACCAACUGAGGGAGGAUUCUCGCCUAGUCCCAGCAACUGGCCCCGGGGAGGAAGUACCCUUCCCAGUCCUGGCACGUCUCCAGCAGUGCUGGCUGACGGCAGACUACCCUUGAAGCUCAGUUACUGCAUUUGUGGAGAGGGGUGAAACCCCUGCUCCAGCCCAGGGGCCAUCUGAGAUCACACCCCCAACCCCAAGGCCAGGGUGGAUCUCCCUGCUUGGCCCUGGGGUGGUCCCUGGGCAGAUGAGAGGGUCCUUCUGCCUGAGCCUCUGAGGCUGCCCUCACUGCAGAGCUCGUGGUCAAGGGGUGGGUGGGCAGGUUGGAUCCCCUCAAGGGCACAGGGGUUAGAGUCUUAGAGACUUAGGGUGAGGGACAUGGAGAGUGAUGGGUUUCUGGGACCCUGAGCUGGCCCUGGCAAGGCCCACAGGGAAAGCUGUGGAGCGCAGUCAUCUCCGUGGCAACUGGCCUCAUCGUCCUUGUCCUGGCUUGGGGGCCGCACGCCUUCCCUUCCCUUUCACCGGCUGGAGUCGCUUUCUUCAGAGGUAACCAUGGCAA